rnacentral:rRNA from 10 species
ACAGGGAUUGCCCUAGUAACGGCGAGUGAAGCGGCAACAGCUCAAAUUUGAAAUCUGGCUCUUUUAGAGUCCGAGUUGUAAUUUGCAGAGGGCGCUUUGGCUUUGGCAGCGGUCCAAGUUCCUUGGAACAGGACGUCACAGAGGGUGAGAAUCCCGUACGUGGUCGCUGGCUAUUGCCGUGUAAAGCCCCUUCGACGAGUCGAGUUGUUUGGGAAUGCAGCUCUAAAUGGGAGGUACAUUUCUUCUAAAGCUAAAUAUUGGCCAGAGACCGAUAGCGCACAAGUAGAGUGAUCGAAAGAUGAAAAGCACUUUGGAAAGAGAGUCAAACAGCACGUGAAAUUGUUGAAAGGGAAGCGCUUGCAGCCAGACUUGCUUGCAGUUGCUCAUCCGGGCUUUUGCCCGGUGCACUCUUCUGUAGGCAGGCCAGCAUCAGUUUGGGCGGUAGGAUAAAGGUCUCUGUCACGUACCUCUCUUCGGGGAGGCCUUAUAGGGGAGACGACAUACUACCAGCCUGGACUGAGGUCCGCGCAUCUGCUAGGAUGCUGGCGUAAUGGCUGUAAGCGGCCCGUCUUGAAACACGGACCAAGGAGUCUAACAUCUAUGCGAGUGUUUGGGUGUCAAGCCCGAGCGCGUAAUGAAAGUGAACGGAGGUGGGAACCCGCAAGGGUGCACCAUCGACCGAUCCUGAUGUCUUCGGAAGGAUUUGAGUAAGAGCAUGGCUGUUGGGACCCGAAAGAUGGUGAACUAUGCUUGAAUAGGGUGAAGCCAGAGGAAACUCUGGUGGAGGCUCGCAGCGGUUCUGACGUGCAAAUCGAUCGUCAAAUUUGGGCAUAGGGGCGAAAGACUAAU